GACGGAGGGGGCUAGCGGUGUUCGGAAUUACUGGGCGUAAAGAGCGCGUAGGCGGAUUAGUAAGUUGGGAGUGAAAGCCCGGGGCUUAACCUCGGAACUGCUUUCAAAACUGCUAGUCUUGAGUGAAGUAGGGGAUGAUGGAAUUCCUAGUGUAGAGGUGAAAUUCUUAGAUAUUAGGAGGAACACCGGUGGCGAAGGCGGUCAUCUGGACUUCAACUGACGCUGAGGCGCGAAAGCGUGGGGAGCAAACAGG
rnacentral:rRNA from 1 species